rnacentral:rRNA from 1 species
UACGUAGGGUGCGAGCGUUAAUCGGAAUUACUGGGCGUAAAGCGUGCGCAGGCGGUUUUGUAAGCCAGACGUGAAAGCCCCGGGCUUAACCUGGGAAUGGCGUUUGGGACUGCAAGGCUCGAGUACGGCAGAGGGGACUAGAAUUCCUGGUGUAGCAGUGAAAUGCGUAGAUAUCAGGAGGAAUACCGAUGGCGAAGGCAGGUCCCUGGGUUAGUACUGACGCUCAUGCACGAAAGCGUGGGGAGCAAACAGG